rnacentral:rRNA from 1 species
AUUGAACGCUGGCGGCAGGCCUAACACAUGCAAGUCGAGCGGAGCGGCGGACGGGGGAGUAAUGCCUAGGAAUCUGCCUGGUAGUGGGGGAUAACGUCCGGAAACGGGCGCUAAUACCGCAUCCUCUCAGAUGAGCCUAGGUCGGAUUAGCUAGUUGGUGGGGUAAAGGCCUACCAAGGCGACGAUCCGUAACUGGGCUGGGAGGAUGAUCAGUCACACGUGAACUGGGACAAGGGCCAGACUCCUACGGGAGGCAGCAGGGGGGAAUAAUGGCAAAUGGGGGGAAGCCUGAUCGAGCCAUGGCGGGUGGUUGAAGAAGGUCUUCGGAUUGUAAAGGUCUUUAAGUUGGGAGGCGGUACCAACAGAAUAAGCACCGGCUUACUUCGUGCCAGCAGCCGCGGUAAUAC